UAGAUUUUAAGUUAUAUAAACUAAAAACCUUCAAAGUUUUAAAAAAGAGCAAUCUUAAAUCUAA
rnacentral:tRNA from 1 species